rnacentral:rRNA from 1 species
AUGAAGCCGCCGUCAUCGCCCAUGUUCUGCGUCCGCGAGGCGGACGGCCACGGCCACCACUUCCUCGAGGAGUGCUCCCUCUGCGGCAAGUCCCUCUCCGGCGACAUCUUCAUGUACAGAGGUGACACGCCGUUCUGCAGCGAGGAGUGCAGGCAUCAGCAGAUCGAGGUGGACAGGGCGAGGCACCGGCGGAAGAAGCACGCGGCGGCGCACGCGGUGUCGGCGGCGCGGAAGGAGCAGCACCGGCAGCACCACCAUCACCACCACCACCAUCACCAUCACCGUCAGCACCAGCAGCCGGAGCCGGAGCCGCAGCCGCGGGCGGCUAUGGUGGGCUCCGCCCCGUGGGCCGACGCCGGGUUCGCCGCGAGGAGCCCCGCGUUGCGCGUGUGA